rnacentral:rRNA from 1 species
AUAAGGAGUCGGACCUGCCCAGUGAAUUAUUUUAAACGGCCGCGGUACUCUGACCGUGCAAAGGUAGCAUAAUCAUUUGCCCUAUAAUUGAGGGCUAGUAUGAAUGGUUUGACAAGAAUAAAGCUGUCUCCGUACAAUUAUAUAGAAUUUUAUUUCUAAGUGAAGAAGCUUAGAUAUAAUUAAAAGACAAGAAGACCCUAUCGAGCUUUAAAAAAAUUAAUAAAUUAAUAAGUAUAAUUAUAAAACAAUGUUUAUUAAAAAUUUUGGUUGGGGCGACUAAGGAACAAACAAAGCUUCUUUUAAAUUAAAAUUACAAACAAGUAUUGAUCCAAAAAUUUUGAUUAAAGAAAUUAGUUACCGUAGGGAUAACAGCAUUAUCUUUUUUGAGAGCUCAUAUCGAAAAAAAGGUUUGUGACCUGGAUGUGGACCAGAAUAUCCUAAAGAUGCAGAAUCUUAAGGGUGU